rnacentral:rRNA from 1 species
UACGAAGGGUGCAAGCGUUACUCGGAAUUACUGGGCGUAAAGCGUGCGUAGGUGGUUUGUUAAGUCUGAUGUGAAAGCCCUGGGCUCAACCUGGGAAUUGCAUUGGAUACUGGCAGGCUAGAGUGCGGUAGAGGGUAGUGGAAUUCCCGGUGUAGCAGUGAAAUGCGUAGAGAUCGAGAGGAACACCAGUGGCGAAGGCGACUACCUGGACCAGCACUGACACUGAGGCACGAAAGCAUGGGGAGCAAACAGG